rnacentral:SRP_RNA from 1 species
GCCGGGUGUGGUGGCGUGUGCCUAUAGUCCCAGCUACUUGUGAGGCUGAGGAGGGAGGAUCUCUUGAGUCCAGGAGUUCUGGGCUGUAGUGCGCUAUGCCGAUCGGGGGUCCGCACUAAGUCUGGCAUCAAUAUGGUGACCUCCUGGGAGCGGGGUCCCACCAGGUUGCCUAAGGAGGGGUGAACUGGCCCAGGUCGGAAACCGAGCAGGUCAAAACUCCCGUGCUGAUCAGUAGUGGGAUCACACCUGUGAAUAGCCACUGCACUCCAGCCUGGGCAACAUAGUGAGACCUCGUCUCU